UCCUAACAAGGCAAUUAAAAAAUCAAACCUCUUUAACUCAUAGUAUUUGUAUUAAACUUCAAAUCAGCAUAUAGAUGAACCCCACUCCUUUCUCCCUGGGAAAGGCCACUGAACUACAAUGACAGCGCAGACUAGCUUCCUUAGCCAGGGCAGACUGUCUUCAAGGGCUGUGCUCAAGGAGCACAGGUAGUCCACAAGCUCUAGUGCGAAAGGCCUACUUCAUCUGUCUGGGGUACCUACCAGCCCAUUUGAAGAACUUCCAAUUACUUCAUGCUUCAUCCUCACAGCUCUGCCUUUUCCCUAGGGACUGCUGGACUGUGCUUCACUACUUAAUUACAUUUCAAUUUGUUCUUGAUGGUCAGACAAAAGGAGGAUGCUUCUGUUGCCUUUUCCAAAACAUGCAAAAAAGCUAGAGAAAAUGCAGAUUGUCAAACCUGAAAAAUGCUGCUCAUUUUGAAACCAUCACUAGGAAUACAUUUCCCAAACGCUGAAGAUUACACACUUCAAAAUGAGGUUAGAAUCAGACGUCGUCCCCAUUUUCACUCCAGAGACAUCUUGGAACACAAGCAGUUAAAUAAAAUAAGCUUUUCACAGCCUGAUACUGUCAGCUGUGCUAGCCAAGAGUGCUCUCCACACACUCAGGUGGACUACUGCCAGACACCCAAAGAGGAAAACAAGGUAGGAUUUCUCUUCUAUUUUCAUGCAGCUCCAUGAAAUUAGAAAUUUUGAUCUCACUGCUCAGACUUAAUACAAAUACAGUUGGAUACAUAAAAAUUAUGUUUUAGCUGCUGUCCAUCCAGCUCUAAUAGAUAAAGUAUUUUAAAUUAUCAUUACUCAAAUUAAAAAUAUAUAUUUAACCUGAAAGAUAUUCAAAACAAAGGUAAGCAUGCAAAAGAACAGCACUCUUUUCUGUAGGCAUUGGCUGUGACAGAGCACUUUUGAGGCUCAUCAUGCCUGCAAGAACUGGAUAUAUAGAAUUAUCCUUUAUGUGCCUCCCAGAGUUAAAGUCUGGAAAUACUUCUGUUUUGAAUAAAACAGUGUUUGUGAGAAUCA
rnacentral:lncRNA from 1 species